AUACGGAGGGUGCAAGCGUUACUCGGAAUCACUGGGCGUAAAGCGCGCGCAGGCGGCUAUUUAAGUUGGAUGUGAAAGCCUACGGCUCAACCGUAGAACUGCAUCCAAAACUAUUUAGCUAGAGUGUGGGAGAGGAAGAUGGAAUUAGUUGUGUAGGGGUGAAAUCCGUAGAGAUAACUAGGAAUACCAAAAGCGAAGGCAAUCUUCUGGAACACUACUGACGCUGAGGCGCGAAAGCGUGGGGAGCAAACAGGAUUAGAAACCCUAGUAGUCC
rnacentral:rRNA from 1 species